AUACAAAUAUUCUCACUGUUCUGAUUUUGUAGUAAGAAUGAAUUACACAUUCGCUAUGUUAAUCUCAUGCAUAUGGCCCCAGACCUUCUUUUCCUAGGUCUGGUUUUAUAAAUGUUUGGGAUAAAC